rnacentral:tRNA from 1 species
AGAUGUGGCUCAAUUUGGUAGAGCAUUUGGUUUGGGACCAAAGGGUUGCAGGUUCAAAUCCUGUCAUCU